UACGUAGGGUGCGAGCGUUGUCCGGAAUUAUUGGGCGUAAAGAGCUCGUAGGCGGUGUGUCGCGUCGGCCGUGAAAACCUGCAGCUUAACUGUGGGCUUGCGGUCGAUACGGGCAUCACUGGAGUUCGGCAGGGGAGACUGGAAUUCUCGGUGUAGCGGUGAAAUGCGUAGAUAUCGAGAGGAACACCUGCGGCGAAGGCGGGUUGCUGGGCUGAUACUGACGCUGAGGCGCGAAAGCCAGGGGAGCGAACGGG
rnacentral:rRNA from 1 species